UGGGGAAUAUUGCACAAUGGGCGCAAGCCUGAUGCAGCCAUGCCGCGUGUAUGAAGAAGGCCUUCGGGUUGUAAAGUACUUUCAGCGGGGAGGAAGGGAGUAAAGCUAAUACCUUUGCUCAUUGACGUUACCCGCAGAAGAAGCACCGGCUAACUCCGUGCCAGCAGCCGCGGUAAUACGGAGGGUGCAAGCGUUAAUCGGAAUUACUGGGCGUAAAGCGCACGCAGGCGGUUUGUUAAGUCAGAUGUGAAAUCCCCGGGCUUAACCCGGGAAUUGCAUCUGGUACUGGUCAGCUAGAGUCUUGUAGAGGGGGGUAGAAUUCCAUGUGUAGCGGUGAAAUGCGUAGAGAUGUGGAGGGAUACCGGUGGCGAAGGCGGCCCCCUGGACGAAGACUGACGCUCAGGUGCGAAAGCGUGGGGAGCAAACAGG
rnacentral:rRNA from 1 species